CAUGUCUGGAAUUUAUAAAUGCGUCAGAUUUACGACAUUGAGUCCCCGAGCCAAAAUUAUUUGCCAAAGGAUUUCUUAAAAUGUGUCGAUUUUGAGAUCUAUUGGGUUUUGGGGGAUGUUUAGAAAUCGUGAAAAUGUUUUCAACAAAGGCGACACAGUAAAAUAUGAGGGUUGUACAGGAUUUUUUCAUGCUUUUUGAUUUGCUGGAGAUAAAGUGCCAUAUUUCACAAUCAUAAAUUUUUCUUCCUUUUAAUUUAAGUAUGCUUGUAUUUAAGCACGAACAAAAUACGAAAGAAAUUCAAAAAGCCAAAGAUCCUGCAGCCCAAAAGGAGAGAGUACAUUAUAAAAACCAUGCAUCUUCUGAGGAUCCUCGUUAUUUUACUCAUUGCUGUAAGCUUUCAAGAAAACUCCGAGGCGAACUCUACAGAAGCUUCUAACACAGCCGCUAACGCCGCUGUUACCAUAGUUACGGUAAAUCAAAAUCCAAUCACUACAACGACCGGAAACUUCACCUCCGGAAAUGGAACCAACGCAGUGUCUUCUGAUGUCCUUUUUACGUCGCUGAUUCUGAUUGGUGUAUUCGUUUUAGGUUUAUUGAAAUGGUAACAUGACUUGUAGACAAUAUCCAGGGUAUGGAUGAUUUUUCUUUAUACAUGUAUAGCCUAUGAUCUUGUUAGAAGGGAGGUUGAUUAUGAAAUUAUCACUUGCAGAAAUAAACGUAAAAAUAGUAAAUUUUACGAUAUUGUAUAUUUUGU